GCUGGGCACGGUGGCGCAUGCCUGUAAUCCCAGCUACUCAGGAGGCUGAGGCAGGAGAAUUGCCUGAACCCAGGAGGCGGAGGUUGCAGUGAGCUGAGAUCGAGCCACUGCACUCCACCUGGGUAACAAGAGCAAAACUCUGUCUCAA
ensembl:misc_RNA Metazoa_SRP Metazoan signal recognition particle RNA